rnacentral:lncRNA from 1 species
GCGGCCGCGUCGCACUCGGGGCCCCGAGACCCCCGCGCCGUGCGGUGCGCGUGCGCCUCGCUCGUCCUCGGCGUCCUGCUCGGCCGGCCCCGGGGCCUGUCGCCCCGCAGCGGUAAGGGCUGGGAGCCGGAGCCUGCGCCGCCGGUGCCGAGAGGCCCAGACCCAGCGCAGCGGAACCACGGGGAUGGGGGUGGGGGGCAGGGAUGAGGACUUUGGGGUCCUCUAGACUCCAGUGCCCUCGGAAGUUAGUGACUUCUGAACCCAAGUUUCUACCUGUGGGAAUGGGGGUCCUCCUUAGUCACAGCUUGACCACAAAGGCAACUGCCCAAGCGAACGCGCGUGGGUACCUAAAGAGCUGCCCGGGAAAUGAUAGUGUUCCCCACCCCGUCUUAAAAACAACACAACAAAAACCGUCCCUUUUAGUUCCGUGUGGUUCUGUCGUGGAAGCUCGGUGGUCAGGAACCUUGCUCGCACUGUGUAGGAAUGUACUUUCCUCCUGGCUUCAGGACGUGACCACGCGUUAUCUGGACCAUAGAAUAGAGUUGAAAUGGUCCUUGUGCGUGGGCAUCCUGAGUUCGACGUAGUGCUUGGGCUCUUUUAAUGUCCUCAGACACAUCUCACCUGAUUCCUGGAGAUUUUUCUGUUUUGUUGUUAUUAGUGAUGCUAUCGUGGUUUUAAAGAUUAUAGGCUUGCUUACAGACAUU